rnacentral:lncRNA from 1 species
CAUCAUUUUAAGUCGUUUUUCGUUUUCUAUUUCGAACGUUUCCAUUCGUUUUUCAACGGCUUUGGAAACUGCCAAUUCAAAUUGUUCAGUGUUGUGCUUCUCAGUUUCCUCAUUGCUCAUUUUCUUUCUCCUCUUAUUUGAUAACAUAGAGUCAUUGCCAACUCUAAAUCCCAGAAUGCGCCCAUUUUUCUUUCCCUUUGAUGCUUUCAGCCAAGGUCCAAUAUGAUCGUUUUUAAAUAGAGGCUUCAUAUGAAAUGUAGUUGAACCUUGAGACGAUAAAUUUUCGUCUUCGCUAUCGUCAUAAGAAUCAGAAUCACUGUCUUCUUGUCUUCGAAGUUAUUCAUUCAAAUUUUCAUAUUCGGCCUUUACGAAAAUCAAAUAUGAAACAAUUAAGAAAAAAUAUAAAUAUUAUGAAAUAUUAAUAAAUGAUCACUCACCAUCAUAGUUUUUCCUCUAUCAUUUAACGGUGUAUGAGUCGACAAGAAUGCCUCUUGAAAUGAAGGUUUUCGACCUAAUUUUAGAGUCUAUACGAAAAAAACUAGUUAAAAUAAUUCACAAAAUAUUUAAAUUGAAAUAAAUUUAAAAUAUAAACUUACUAAUGCAUGAGAGUUGGCUUUAAAAGAAACCGAUCCACCCUUGUACACCAAAUAAUCGUCGUUUUUAGUUCGAUUUGCUGAAUUCUUUUUUGAUUUUUCUACGAACUCUGGUGUCAAAAACUUGUCCAUCAUUAGUCCCCAUUUUUCUUUUGUAAUGUAUGUUGGAGGGAAAUCUUUGCAAGUCUCAUCAAAUUCUGAGACACCAGCAUUUC